CAUUGAUAGAUUGGUAUCGAUGGAUGCCUUAAUUUCAUUUUUCUCUAUUCUUCUUUUUUCUUGUUAUUUUUACCUUUGGUAGAGGUGAUAUUGAUAGAUAAAAUGAAAGUAGACGUUGAUGGUAAUGGUAAUGGUUUGACCUGGACACAUGGUUUGGAGUUACUCUUUUCUUUUUUACCUAUCUGUCAUCUUUUCCUAUUAGAUAAGGGCAAACUUUCUAUGCUUCCCCUACAGCAUAAAACUUAUAUACCUUCCCUUAUCCAACCGUCCAUCCUAAAUGGACGAUUGAGAUGGCCCUAAUCACAGUGUCACAUUAUAUCUCUAAGAGAAAAUAUUCGUAGCACUAUUAUAAUUGUAGAUAUGGCUAUGAUUGCAGAAAAAUGGCACAUGAGAAGUUUAUUUCUGGCAGGCAAGGAUGAGAGAUCCUAAAGAUUCUUACCAGAGGCAUUUCAAAUGCCAUAAAGUCUCCAAGAAGUUUCUUUGAAACAAACACCAUAAACAUAUUUGACAGGAUAUAUACAGAUACAAGAACCAGAUUGUAAAGGAUCAAAGGUAUUUGUAUACUAAAGAAUAGGGGAUUACUCAUGUAAGAUUUCCAUUGGCAAAGAUGAUGACAACAUGCUGCAAAGGCAGGCUGCAAUUGUCUCCUGGUCCAUUAUGUUGCUUAGUGUGGCAGCACCUUAAGUACUUCAUGAACCCACCUCUUGAAAGGGAGCCAUGCCUGAGCAGUUGGAGCUCACUGCAAAAUAAAUUAUUUCACCUCAAUCCAUCAUUCCACUGAGACAAUCAGGGACAUGAUGGUGUAGGAGCCAGCUAAAUCAGGGUUCUUUUUGGCGGAACAUCUUUCUAUGAGCAGCUUUGGCCAAGUGAUCUUCCCCUGCCAUUGCCAGCGAGGUAUGGCUCUCCCCAGCCCGGCCCAAAACCUAGCUUCUUGAUUGGUUAUUGAUUAGCAAAAAGGCUCUCAUGGUGGACCACAUCCAGCGUGGGGGAAUACACUUCACUGACAUAUACAAAUGUAUCAUGUACAAAACAAAACUAGAAAUCAAUUGGGCCAGUAGGAUUUCUAUUUGCGCUUGGAGACUAAACUAGUGUUUGAAUAUUUUUGAGCCCACUAAAUCUCUUGAGGUGUCUUCCCAACACGUAUGGCAUGAAGCCAAUGCUAUCAUGGAUAGCCUCACCAAAGAGGGGGCUUCCCAAAUAAAUCUUGUAACCUUGGUCUAGUGGGCAGUCCCUUUUUGUUUCUUUUUUGUAACUGUAUAAGAGGUCUGGUUUUACACUUGUUAUAAGUAAUCCGAAAGAGUAAAUAAAGAAAAAAAGAAGUAUUUGCUUUCCUUGUGGAACUUGCAUAAUAUCUAUAGUUGACUUUAU